UACGUAGAAGACUAGUGUUAUUCAUCUUUAAUAGGUUUAAAGGGUACCUAGACGGUAUAAUUAGUCUAAAAUAAGAUACGGUUAUAUAGAGUUAUAUAUGAGGAGGUGAGUAUUUAUGGAAGUAGAGUUGAAAUUCGAUCAUCCCAUGACGACUGGUAUCGGCGAAAGCAACCUUUUAUCUAAUAACUGACGUUGAGGGACGAAGGCUCGGGUAACGAACAGG
rnacentral:rRNA from 1 species